rnacentral:rRNA from 1 species
UACGGAGGGUGCAAGCGUUAUCCGGAUUUACUGGGUUUAAAGGGUGCGUAGGCGGACAGGUAAGUCAGUGGUGAAAUCCCCGAGCUCAACUUGGGAACUGCCGUUGAUACUAUCUGUCUUGAAUACCGUGGAGGUGAGCGGAAUAUGUCAUGUAGCGGUGAAAUGCUUAGAUAUGACAUAGAACACCGAUUGCGAAGGCAGCUCACUACGCGGUCAUUGACGCUGAGGCACGAAAGCGUGGGGAUCAAACAGG